CCCGUUUGCACAAGUUCUUUUUGAUUCGGGAACUUGCCUGUAAGGAGGAUAGAUUCUGGGAACUAAAUCUGUGAGAGUAGCUAACUACAGAAGUUCAAAACUAAAGUUGUAGUUUGUACGUAUCGCAUAGGUACACACCCCAAAGCAAUCUUGUGACACACGCACUUACUUCAGGAUCAUCUUUUCCAAAGGAUGAGUCAUUUCAGUCCCAGGUGAACUUGUAGGAAUCAGGCAGACUGAAAUGUCAGUUCUCAUGCAAACGGGGUUUGCAUUGAAUAUGAGAAAUAAUCUUCAUCAUGAUGAAGACACAACUUCAGCUCUCCUCACAGUGAUGAAUGGGGUCAGACCUGGAUUUUGGUUUCUGUUACUGGCAGCUCUGUGGUGGUGUUUCACAGUGGCAGAGAAACUGGAAUUUUGUUUCCACGGUGUUUUCCAACCCUUGCUUGGAAGCCAGAACUGAACACAGACCUGGAAUCCUCGAGUUGCGGGACAGGAGAAUGGCCUGUUGGAACACCUUUAACUACCAAGAAAAUUUCAGAAGUACACGUGCAUACUCAUCCUACAAAAUUAUUCAUCUAAAUAAAACAUAUCGUGUACGUAUAUGAGGCUCAUAAUAAUCUCCUGAGGUGAGUACCAAUAUUUUCCUGUUUACACAGAAGAAGAAACAGAGUCAUAGACAGGUUAAAUAAUGUCUACAAUUUCAUACCUAACCCCUCAUUUUAAAAAACCAGUGAAACAAUGGCUGCAGUAGCUUGAGAUCAGGGCAGGUAGAGUAGGAGGGAUUUGGGAGUAAAAGUGAAACUGAUUUGGCAUUUUUGUAACUAAAUGUGUCUGUCGUGAACCCACAGAUACUGCCGUGGGCAGGAACCGAAAAACAUCUGCGCAUUGGCCAAGUACAUUUGUCUCAGCAGAGCCCAGAGAUCAACUUUUUGAUUUGUGGAAGAAGCAGGGUGUACGUAGUCUGUAUAAUUUUUGACUGGAGAAAUAGUAAUUAUUUCUUUCAAGUAAAAGGAGUUCAUUCCCAACCAUGGAAGUGAAUAUGUGUAUACCAUUUGCUAAUCACUUCGUCUGGGUGGACUCAGACUCACUAUUGGAAAAAUGAGGGUUUUAAGGGCCAAAUGCCCAACCACCUCUAUUGUUCUAAGACCAAGAGCGAAUAAAACUGGUUUCUUGGAAGGAAGAUAUCUAAUAAUACAAAAAUUAAUCCCCUGAAAUUAAAGUAGUUCCAGAAACAGCAAAAUAUAUGAUCUCUCUUGCUUUUGGCUUUGCUAACUUUAUUUCUUCUGAGAAAAGAUUAUUGCAAUACAUCUAAAUAAAUACUAUGCAACAUUAAAGCUGAGAUUAUUGUUCAUCAGAUUUUAAAUCUUUAUAUGUUCCACAAGCCCAGAUACCUGGUAGGAGGCCGAGAGUGGCUGGAAACAGAGAAAGCGUUGAGAUCUUCCAUGUAACACCUCUGCUCUUACAGGUAGAGGGUCCAUGAGGUCUUGUCCCUCUGACACAAAGCAAUGCAGAAAAUAAAUCAUUUCUUUCAAAAAUGUAUCUUUACUGUAUAGUUUAGUGCUAUACCUGUAUGUUGCAUAUAUUAUAUCAGCAAAUAAUUAUAUUUACAUAAAUGCAAAUAUGGACUUCCUCAAAAAUCUGCUAGAAUGCAUAACCACAUGUAAAUCACAACCACAAAGACUACAAGAAACAGUGCUGUGAAGGAAACUAAAUGAUACACAAGACAAGUAAACUUCCUAAAGUUCUAAACCUCAGAGAAAGGGAGUGCUAUACAAAGGGAAACGGAGGAGGAAAAAGCCAUCAUUCUCUCAGGACCUAAUGUGGUCCACCAACUGCUCUAUGUUACCCUCUAAUUUCUAGAUUUCCAUUAUUAAUAAGAUAUUAUUGUGAAUUUCUCACAGAUAAAAAAGUCAGGUUCAGUGACUCUCGAUAGGGCCUGUCAUGCCUGGAACAUGCUAAAAGUUCCCAUUCCUGUCACACGUUAAUAAGUCAGGAUGUGUGCUGUGACAUCGAUGUAACCAUGAAAACAAUGGUGAAAGGAUGUCUCCGUUCCCAGCCAAGAGAGUGAAAAAGUAGAGUGGUAAGAAAAUAAUUAAUCCAGGAGAUGGAAAAAAGGAAGAGUAAAAGGAACAUGGGAAAAACGGAAGAAAUGGAACACAGAAGCAAGAUGGUUGAUGUUAAUCCAAAAGCAUGAGUAAAUGUGCUACGUUUAAAUGAGCAAAAUAUUCCAAUGAAAGAUGGUGACUCUUCCAAGCCUGGGGUCUGCAUUUUGAGCCAUUUCUGCUCCCAGCCUGCAGGGUCCUUGAUAAAUCAAAAACCACUGGACUCAAAGAGUGAGGCACCACUAGGAUGAAAUGCGUGAGGUUUUUGACAAAAAUGAGUCAUGAAAGUGUAACCGUUGAAUCGAAGAAUGGGACACAAGUCCGUGCAACAGGCAUGGGGGCAAAUGUCAGUAUGAGUACACGUCUCAAAGCUGCGAGGAUGGUCCCGAAAAUCACAGAAACGGCGCAGGGGAAACACGGAGAGUGCUGCGGUGGCAUCGGAUAUGUUGCCCUGCCAGACAGCUGACCUCUGGGUGCACUACUUGUCCACACAAACUCCGGUGAAAUCCAAGGAAAGGGAAGUCCUUGGUGGGAGAGACCAAGGCCGGGGAGGAGAUGUCAGGUCCUUAGCAGUGGAGACUCUGAAGAUUACUGUUUCACAAUGAUGCGUGGUUUGGAUGCUUUUUUGUACAGGUGUUGUUUACAUCGGUGUUUAAUAGACAAGAUAAUUAUUGUCAGAGUGUCUAAAAACCACCUAGAUAUCUGACAUGGAAGACACAUAAAUAUAAGCACACAGGAAGGUUGAGAGAAAAGAACAGAGAGAUAGUUUUUGUAAGCAUGCAUUCAUACAAGACAACUGAGGAACCUAUAAUAAUAUCAGACAAACUGGAGUUUAAGUCAAGAAGUAUCACUAGAUGUGUUAUGAUAAAAAGCUGACAACAAUUCAAAUUGUCUUUACAGCUAAUGCCAGAGCCUCAAAAUAUACAAAAUGUAAAAAGCAAAUAUGACAGAAUAAUUUUUAGAAAGCAUAUAAAAAUCCCCAGCGAGGCAAG